rnacentral:rRNA from 1 species
UUGAACGCUGGCGGCAUGCUUUACACAUGCCAGUCGAACGGUAACAGGCCUUCGGGUGCUGACGAGUGGCGAACGGGUGAGUAAUGCAUCGGAACGUGCCCAGAGGUGGGGGAUAACGCAGCGAAAGCUGUGCUAAUACCGCAUGUGAUCUGAGGAUGAAAGCGGGGGACCAGGCAGCAAUGUUUGGCCUCGCGCCUUUGGAGCGGCCGAUGUCAGAUUAGGUAGUUGGUGGGGUAAAGGCCUACCAAGCCGACGAUCUGUAGCUGGUCUGAGAGGACGACCAGCCACACUGGGACUGAGACACGGCCCAGACUCCUACGGGAGGCAGCAGUGGGGAAUUUUGGACAAUGGGCGCAAGCCUGAUCCAGCAAUGCCGCGUGCGGGAAGAAGGCCUUCGGGUUGUAAACCGCUUUUGUACGGAACGAAAAGGCUCUGGCUAAUACCUGGGGCUGAUGACGGUACCGUAAGAAUAAGCACCGGCUGACUACGUG